rnacentral:rRNA from 1 species
GACGAACGCUGGCGGCGUGCCUAAUACAUGCAAGUAGAACGCUGAAGGAGGAGCUUGCUCUUCUUUGAUGAGUUGCGAACGGGUGAGUAACGCGUAGGUAACCUGCCUGGUAGCGGGGGAUAACUAUUGGAAACGAUAGCUAAUACCGCAUAAUAGUAGAUGUUGCAUGACAUUUGCUUAAAAGGUGCAAUUGCAUCACUACCAGAUGGACCUGCGUUGUAUUAGCUAGUUGGUGAGGUAACGGCUCACCAAGGCAACGAUACAUAGCCGACCUGAGAGGGUGAUCGGCCACACUGGGACUGAGACACGGCCCAGACUCCUACGGGAGGCAGCAGUAGGGAAUCUUCGGCAAUGGACGGAAGUCUGACCGAGCAACGCCGCGUGAGUGAAGAAGGUUUUCGGAUCGUAAAGCUCUGUUGUAAGAGAAGAACGAGUGUGAGAGUGGAAAGUUCACACUGUGACGGUAUCUUACCAGAAAGGGACGGCUAACUACGUG